UGGGGGAUAUUGCACAAUGGGCGAAAGCCUGAUGCAGCAACGCCGCGUGAGGGAAGACGGUUUUCGGAUUGUAAACCUCUGUCUUCGGUGAAGAAACAAAUGACGGUAGCCGAGGAGGAAGCCACGGCUAACUACGUGCCAGCAGCCGCGGUAAUACGUAGGUGGCAAGCGUUGUCCGGAAUUACUGGGUGUAAAGGGAGCGCAGGCGGGGAGACAAGUCAGCUGUGAAAACUAUGGGCGUAACCCAUAAACUGCAGUUGAAACUGUUUUGCUUGAGGGGAGUAGAGGUAGGCGGAAUUCCGGGUGUAGCGGUGAAAUGCGUAGAUAUUCGGAGGAACACCAGUGGCGAAGGCGGCCUACUGGGCUCUAACUGACGCUGAGGCUCGAAAGUGUGGGGAGCAAACA
rnacentral:rRNA from 1 species